rnacentral:lncRNA from 1 species
UGCAAAACGUGCAGUGUUGGGGUGCCUCCAGGACCAGGGUUGGGAACCAUGGGUCUAUGCUACCAAUCAUCAUACUACUUUAAAUUUGCUUUGUCUACAAAAAUAUGAGGUGUAGUUUAUAUAGAGAUGAUGGGGUGUGGAUGUGGAGCAGGUGAGCAUCUGUUGGACAGGCUAAAGACCAGCUGUGUUUGUUUGGUUGCUGAUAAGACAUGUUCCACAGCCCUGAAGAGAG